rnacentral:rRNA from 1 species
UAAACCAGCAAUCGACGACCGUACGAGAACUUGCUCUCUGAUGUAACGGCGGACGGUGAAGUAACCACCUGGAUACCUACCUAUUAGACUGGGGAAACUUCGGGAACCGGAGCUAAUACCGGGAUAUAUUUUGGACCGCCAUGGUUCAAAGUGAAAGACGGUCUUGCUGUCACGUAUAGAUGAUCCGCGCUGCAUUAGCUAGUUGGUAAGGUAACGGCUUACCAAGGCAACGAUGCAUACCGACCCUGAGAGGUGAUCGGCCACACUGGAACUGAGACACGGUCCAGACUCCUACGGGGAGGCAGCAGUAGGGAAUCUUCCGCAAUGGGCGAAAGCCUGACGGAGCAACGCCGCGUGAGUGAUGAAGGUCUUCGGAUCGUAAAACUCUGUUAUUAGGGAAGAACAUAUGUGUAAGUAACUGUGCACAUCUUGACGGUACCUAAUCAGAAAGCCACGGCUAACUACGUGCCAGCAGCCGCGGUAAUACGUAGGUGGCAAGCGUUAUCCGGAAUUAUUGGGCGUAAAGCGCGCGUAGCGGUUUUUUAAGUCUGAUGUGAAAGCCCACGGCUCAACCGUGGAGGGUCAUUGGAAACUGGAAAACUUGAGUGCAGAAGAGGAAAGUGGAAUUCCAUGUGUAGCGGUGAAAUGCGCAGAGAUAUGGAGGAACACCAGUGGCGAAGGCGACUUUCUGGUCUGUAACUGACGCUGAUGUGCGAAAGCGUGGGGAUCAAACAGGAUUAGAUACCC